GAUGAACGCUGGCGGCGUGCCUAAUACAUGCAAGUCGAGCGAACAGACGAGGAGCUUGCUCCUCUGACGUUAGCGGCGGACGGGUGAGUAACACGUGGAUAACCUACCUAUAAGACUGGGAUAACUUCGGGAAACCGGAGCUAAUACCGGAUAAUAUAUUGAACCGCAUGGUUCAAUAGUGAAAGACGGUUUUGCUGUCACUUAUAGAUGGAUCCGCGCCGCAUUAGCUAGUUGGUAAGGUAACGGCUUACCAAGGCGACGAUGCGUAGCCGACCUGAGAGGGUGAUCGGCCACACUGGUACUGAGACACGGUCCAGACUCCUACGGGAGGCGGCAGUAGGGAAUCUUCCGCAAUGGGCGAAAGCCUGACGGAGCAACGCCGCGUGAGUGAUGAAGGUCUUCGGAUCGUAAAACUCUGUUAUUAGGGAAGAACAAAUGUGUAAGUAACUAUGCACGUCUUGACGGUACCUAAUCAGAAAGCCACGGCUAACUACGUG
rnacentral:rRNA from 1 species